UACAGAGGGGGCGAGCGUUGUCCGGAAUUACUGGGCGUAAAGGGCGCGUAGGCGGCCUCUUAAGUCGAACGUGAAAUCCCCGGGCUCAACCCGGGAACUGCGUCCGAUACUGGGGGGCUUGAAUCCGGGAGAGGGAUGUGGAAUUCCAGGUGUAGCGGUGAAAUGCGUGGAUAUCUGGAGGAACACCGGUGGCGAAGGCGGCAUCCUGGACCGGUAUUGACGCUGAGGCGCGAAAGCUAGGGGAGCAAACGGG
rnacentral:rRNA from 1 species